AUUGAACGCUGGCGGCAGGCCUAACACAUGCAAGUCGAACGAGUGGCGGACGGGUGAGUAAUGUCUGGGAAACUGCCUGAUGGGGGGGGAUAACUACUGGAAACGGUAGCUAAUACCGCAUACCAUCGAAUGUGCCCAGAUGGGAUUAGAUAGUAGGUGGGGUAAAGGCGCACCUAGGCGACGAUCCCUAGCUGGUCUGAGAGGAUGACCAGCCACCCUGGAACUGAGCCACGGUCCAGACUCCUACGGAAGGCAGCAGUGGGGAAUAUUGCACAAGGGGCGCAAGCCUUAUACAGCCAGGCCGCGUGUAUGAAGAAGGCCUUCGGGUUGUAAAGUCCGUUCAGCGGGGAGGCGUUACUCGCAGAAGAAGCACCGGCUAACUCCGUGCCAGCAGCCGCGGUAAUUC
rnacentral:rRNA from 1 species